rnacentral:lncRNA from 1 species
UUCUUAUCAGCAGUGAGGUGUUGCCUAUUAACACAGGUGAAAUCUUUCAGCUCUUGAUCUCACUGUUUUAAGGAGCAGAGGUAAAAUAUCCUGUAGUGAAGGAGGUAUUGCUGCUUUGAGCUGUCCUGUAUGAUGUGGCUGAGGGAGCCAUGUGCAGUGCAUCUAUGCACUUUUUGGAUGCGAAUUGGAAAUAAGGUGCUGAUUUUGGUGAAAGGCUUUCCCUCCAUGUUACAAAUGUGUGGACUGAGGAAAUGUUGGGUGAGACGCACCAGCCAUCUCCAUGCACUGUGAUGUCUACGAGAUGCUGAGGCUUCACUGAUCUGGGUGUCCCAGCCAUGUUAUCCUCCUCCCCUGAUCUCCCCCACCAUGAGCCCCACUGCCUGUGUCCCCUCUGAUCCUGAACAGCUGUUUCAGGACCUCUCUCCUGAAUCACCAUGCAAAGCCUUUUCCAGUAAUAAAAGGCUAAUGAAAGUGAAAGGGGUAUGGAAC